AAUUAGAGACUUUUGGCUCAAACAAGAUCUUUUCUGGGAAGCCAUAAGCCUGUAUUCUGAUAUUUCAACAUUUCACCCUUCAUCCUCCCCACCAGCCCUCACUAGGGUUCAUAUCAUCCUAGAAAUGGAACACCACCACAAAGCAGUCACCCACAUGGAUUCUCCCACUUUGCAGGCUUACGAUAAUGAAGUCAAACACACAUACACAGGCUCCAAAUACCUUUGGUAGAGCUUUACACCCAUAUGUGUGAAGGGCCAUUUCCAAACGGAAUAAUAACUGGAAGGCACGACUAAACCACUAGAAUAAAAUCCCCCUUUGGAUUAGGUAUCAGCAAAGUAAAUUAGUAACAUCUGAGCGCCUGUUAAGACUAGAGAUUCGCCGUUUGCUGGGACUGGCAUUUAUUUCAUUAUUGAAAAGGAAGGGAAAAAACAGAAGGAAUCAAGUCAGCUGUACUGAGUGUCGAUGACACAUGUGCCUCCCAUUUUUGAAGCUCUUCUCCCUGGCGCCUCAGUGUACUGUCUGAGCUGCCCCUGGGCUACAACCGUGAUUAAGAGGAGAGGUCUCUCUUUUGAAGGGGUUGGUGGUCUCUUGAGCUGAGGAAGUGGAACACGGGGUGAGUUUUCCUUUGUUUGUUCUUUCGUCCAUUCAUUGGUUCAUUAGGAAGCCCCUUCUCUGUGCUUGGUGCUGAGGAGGGGUUUUAACAGUCUCCUCCAGCAAUGGCGCUUCGGGGCAGGGGGGAGUAUGGGGAUGCUAAGUUUUGGGGGGAGCUUCCAGUAGAUUCAUUCAGGAGGAGACUCCUUUGGAGUAAGAUGGGAAGAGCAGCUUGCAGCCCCCUGGUAGAGGCCCUUGAACGGAGAGCAGAGUUUUGUUCUGGGGCAAGUUUGGGGCAGGCAAGCCCGAGUCUCUUUCCUGUCCUUGACCCUUGCUGUGGGACUCGCUUCUCUGCUUUUCAGUUGACGAGCCUGGCUGAUGGAAAACUGGAGGGCAUGCUGUGGGCUUCUCCCCUGCCACCUUCCCCGCUCUUGACGUCUUCUGGAAAUUGCCACCUUUAGGAGUCUGAGGAGCCAGGCAUCCUCGAGGGCAGGCUUCCUGUGUGGAGAGCCUUGUGGCUGAGGUCUGACCACACCACAAACCCACUGCUGCUCAUCAGUGUGGGCCAAGGAUGGAAGAGAAGCCAUGGUGCAGAGAGGGGUGUGGGUCAGGGGCUGAGGAUGCCUCCGGCCUUUCCUAAAAAGGAGGGAGCUGGACUUGCUUUUCCCUGAGACAUCUUCUGGUUGCGCCUCAGUCUACCCUGCGUUUGUCAUUUAGAUGGGGAGCUCCCCCACCAUCUCAUUCGGCAUGGGGUUUACAGGUCUAACAGGCCACGGUUUUAUGAGCUGCCUUGUGAAUAUUAAAAGUCGCAUUUCUUUUUCUGUUUCUUUGGAUUGCUUGAAUUUUUUAAGGUUGAGCAGUUUUUUAAAUAGCAAAGUGUAAAGUCCUAAGUCUUCUUAGAGGCUGUCAUUCUCCUGUGAUUUCAGCUCCCUAGCCUCCUUCGUGACUUUGAUCACCAAGUCCCCCGUUACGUUGGAAGAUUAAAGGCAUGUGGACGUCCGGGGGAGGGCAGCCUGGAGGUGACAUUCAAAAGCUCGAUUAGUCUUCUGCGGAUCAGUUGUCUACAGGCUUCCAGAAUAGCCCUCCAGACUACAUUUUAGGACAGGGCUGCCAGCAGCUGCUGUCUUGACCUGACCAGGAAGUUGCUGCUCCCCUCUGACUCCAGGACCACCCACCCCUGCCAUGGUCUGCACCAGCAAAAUGGACACCUUGCAUCCUACCCCUCUUCCCACGCAACUCAGAGCCUCGGUCUCCUCAUUUAUAAACUGAGUGGCAUCCACCUCCAGGUCAUAUGUAAUACAUUUCACAGCUGGUGUGUCAUAGGCACAGGCCAGUGAGGAUGGCCGUAGAUUGUAAAUCGCUCAUUAGGACUUACUGGUGCCAACCAGCUGAAUACCAACCCUCCUGGCAGUAUCACCAGAAAUGCCAAGUGGCAAGGGUUAUCUGGAUGGUCCUAGGUGCAUAGAGCAUGAGUGGUUUGACUGAGAUUACACAGGCCAGUGGUUAGAAUGUGGUGAGAAUUCCAUGAACACCCCCAAGACCUUUAAAGGAGAGAGAAUGCUCUUGCAGAUUUGGAGGAGAAACCCAGGAUGCAUCUGGACCAUCCACCUGAGUGCAAUGCUCCCACACAAGGAGGACGGCUGGGCAAGGAGCUGAGCGCUCAGUCAAGGAUGAUGCUGCUCCAUUGCUCCCCUCUUGUUCUGGUGAAACAGGUGGACGGAUUUGAGCCUGAGAAGUAACAAGCAAGGAGAAUAACUGGGAGCAUUAGGCUUUGGGGUGCCCUCUGCUUGAGCAUGACGGGCACUCAUCCUGUCUGAGGCAAAGGUGUGGACAGGAUGAAACAUGCCAGAGACUGGAGUCCGGAACCUUGAAAGUUUAAUGAGGACAGUUAGUGGAGUGACGCUAUGAUUAAUCACGUCAAAAGCAUCACGUAAAUCAAGCUGGAUGGUGGUGGACAACGACUAUUUAAUUUUGAUACUAAAAGGUCAUUUGGAACGCUUACUAGUGCGCUGUCAGGAGGGGCUGGCUUCUAAAUCCAGGUGGAUAAAGGUCCAUUAGGUCCCUGAGUGGAGGACUUAAGAUCCGAGCCAACUAGACAGGCCUGAUGCACCUGAACACAGGAGAAAAGGCAAAAGGAGACAUUUCAAAGUGAAACCGAGUCACUGAGGGUUUUACACUUUUUUAAUUUUUAAUUUUUUAAAUCUCUCCUCACUUGAGGUCCUAGAAAAAUGAUAUUAAGAAGGGCAGUAACUGAAUACAAGGCCGUCAGAGGAACUAUUGCUGUCAUGUUUUGUGAGCAAAGGAACAUGUUAUGUAAGCAGAUUAUGAGGGCUAUGCACAGAGAGGAGAGUUCAAUAUUUUCAGAAAGUCAAGCUCACAACUGAAUGUCUCUGAUGCGCAUUUAAGGAAGAGCAUAACCAAGGGAUAUUAGAGCGAUGGAGGACCUGGACGAUUGUCUGGUCCAUCCUCCUCACUGGCACCGAUGAGGACAAUUACGCAGAGAUGAUGCCCAUGGGCCGAGUUUGCGCAGCAACAAAUGGCGGGGCAGGGAUGAGCGUGGGGCUGCUGGCUCUCUCCAGGCGCAUCCACUCCAUCCAACCUUAGGUGGGGCGGGAGCCCCAGCUGUGAACAUACAUUUCACUUGACUGCAUGGCCACCAGACAAAGACUUUGCAAGGCAUCUGGCAGAGGGAAUCGGACCGAGCCAGAGCUGCUCAGGAGAUCCUGAAAGGCCGCGAUGUGGAAGCCAAAGGGCAGAGGCUCCCUCCUCUCUGGGAAGCAGCGUCUAGAGCCCAGGCCCCCUGGCUGCCCGCCCUUGGCUCUCACCUGCCUGGGGGCGCUCAGCUUGGAGCCAGCCUGGCUGGGGGGGGCGGGCAGAAGGGUGGGUGCUCACGAGGUGCGGGAGGGAAGGGACACCCUGCUUCAGAUGCCCCAGUCAGCGCCGUCCUCCUGGUGACUCCUUAAUUUCACCAUUUAAACACAGCUCCUUUUUCUCUCCUUUCUUACCUUUUUUUGAAUGGGUUGUCUUUCUUUGCUUGCUUGCUCGCUUUUCUUAUUCCAUUUCCCCCUCUUUCCU
ensembl:lncRNA